AGAGAGAGACAUGCGCGCAUAUCAAUAAGCGGAGGAAAAGAAACUAACUAGGAUUCCCUCAGUAACGGCGAGUGAAGCGGGAAGAGCUCAAAUUUGAAAUCUUCAAGGUUCUACCUUGACGAAUUGUAGUUUAAAGAAGUGUUUUCUGUUGAAGUUUUGGUAAAAGUUCUUUGGAAUAGGACAUCAUAGAGGGUGAGAAUCCCGUAUUUGACCAUUAUUUCCAGCUUUGUGAUACACUUUCAAAGAGUCGGAUUGUUUGGGAAUGCAGUCCAAAAUGGGUGGUAAAUUUCAUCUAAAGCUAAAUAUUGGCGAGAGACCGAUAGCGAACAAGUACCGUGAGGGAAAGAUGAAAAGAACUUUGAAAAGAGAGUUAAACAGUACGUGAAAUUGUCAAAAGGGAAGCGUUUGACACCAGUGUUGUUUUCUCGAAAAUCAAUUGAAAAAGGCAGGAUUUUGUGUUGUAUUGACUUUAUCAGCUUUCUGCACUCUUUUCUUGUCUUUUUUAAUGCACUUUUCGUUUAACAAGUCAACAUCAAUUUCUUUUGUUGUAAAAGGGUCAUUGGAAGGUGGCUUUCUUUUCGGAGAAAGUGUUUAUAGCCUUUGGCCUCUGCAAUCGGAGAGAUUGAGGUCUGCAGCGUAGAUCCUUCGGGGUUAGAUACAUUUGUGCUAAGUUAUAGCCUUUCAUAGACAACUUGUUGACUAUGAUCAGUCAUGUAGCUUACUCGCUUAUGCUAUUUUACCUACGCUUAGGAUGUUGAUGUGAUACUGCGAGCA
rnacentral:rRNA from 1 species